UUUGACCGGGUAUAGGGAAAGGGGGUGGAGGGGUCAGACAGGAUUUGAGAUGGGGAUCCUGGGAGGACAAUGACAUACUCUCCAAGGUGAGAAAGGCAGGAGCAGGAGCAGCUUGGUGAUGGGCACAUGAAAACCUGGGCAUUGAGAAGUGUGUGGGGCUCUGGGACAGAUGGUGGGGGUCAGUGAUGGUACAGGAGCUCAGGAAAAGACAGGUUCUGGGGAUGGGGAUUCUGUACAUCCUCCUCCACCCCGGGCAGAAACUGAUACCCCCAAAGGGCAGUUAGGCCAAGCACUGAACUGGGGUGGGGGUCCCCUCAGAUACCUACGCUUCUGUAUGGAGUUCCCUAUUCUUCGGGGUCCUUGGUCUCCCUCCUUACAUCACCCCACACCCUGGGGAGGGAAGAGUGCGAGUCACAGGGGAGAGGACAACAGUACUCCAGCCUUCUGGAGUUCUCCUUGAUAAAAAGCAUGUAACGGAGAACUCACCCCAGUUCCACAGCUGGAGCAAGACGGACAUGGGGCAACGAAGGGGAGCGGGUUGUGUGGUAAAGAACCUGGCCACCAGACUCUGCCCGCCACUGUGUGACCUUGCGCUAGUCAUUUUCCCUAUCUGAGCCUGGGUAGCCUCAUCUGUAAAGGGGGUGGGGGUGGGGGUGGGGUACUGGGAUCCACUUUUUCAAUGGUCACGGAAAGAAUCUGGGGUAACCAACUUUGUCCUCCCACAUACUGAGGGUAGGGAGCCCUCGGGUCCUUGUGCCCUCCUCCUCACUCUCGACUUGGGGGUCCCCAGCUCCCAAAACUGGGGGUGGGGGGGGGGGCGUUGCGGGCUGGGGCGCGAAUGCAGCAUCCUUGAGCUCGGCGCACCCCUAUUGGCCAGAGAUGAUCUCACCGCCUCCCCGCCUGCGCGCGCCUCAUUGGCCAGUGCGGGGAUGCUGCGCUCCGCCGCCGGCAGGGCCGUCAUUCAGGCGGGCUCGGAGCGUGUGUGUGAGCCUCGCGGAGCGCAGAGGUGACGCGCCCGCCGUCCCCCAGGGGUCUCCGGAGGCAAAAGCGCAGAGACCCUCGGUCAGGGUCUUGACCCCUAAACCCCAGCCCGAGCCCAGCAAGCGCCCCCUCCAGCUUCCUACGGUCUGGCAACCCCAAGCAAGGCCAUCCCCAGAUGAUGCUCCGCAGAGAGGCGGGGUCCGGGUCCUCCCCUCCACCCCCUUCCGUUUAACCCUUUCACCGCCGCGGCGCGGUCCCGCACUGCCCGGCCGGCUGGGCUGGGAGCCCCGCGCCCCGAGCCUGCCCUAGUCCACCUAGAGGGCGGGAGGGUGGCGGGCUCCCUGGCCCUAGCCCCGGCACCCGCAGCAUCCCUUCAGCUUCGCGCCCCUCACUCAGCCUUCGGACCCCAGCCCAGAGCCCCCGGUACAAUGGGGAGCCAGCCUGCCCCGGUCAGACGCAGGGGCCGAAGCGCUCGCUGGAGGACCGGCAGGACGCCGGGGGACCGCAGCUCCCGGUACCCAGUGCCCCAGCUCAGCUCCUCCUGAGAAGGCAGGACCCGAACGACAGUCCCGCAGCCCCGAGUCCCGGGAGCGGCAGCCCGGACCCUCACCCUGCGGAGCGACUGGGCGCCCAGAGAUAACGAAGCGGAGGUCAGAGCUGUGGAAAGACCCGCCCGAGGUGGCAUCGUGGGCAGGGGUGCCUGUGAGUUCCCUCCUCCUUGCCCCCAGCUGUGGGACUGUCCCUCCUCUAAGCCACCACCCUCUGACAACCCUAUGGCCUCCAGGCGAGUGAAAAGGAAAAACUCUGGCAUUUUCCACUUCCUAGGUACCCUCUGCCUUCUCAGGUCCUCACCACGAUGCCCCCAUUGAUGAGAGAGGAAACUGAGGCCCAGAGAGGGGAGGGACUUGCCCAGGGUCACACAGCAAGGCUGAACCCUGAUGAGGGGCUCAGGGCUCUGGACUGCUGGGGUCAGUGUUCUGGGGCUUUCCCCCCAGCCCUGCCCACCCUCGACUGUCUUAGCCUCUGCCUCCUGACAAACACUGUCAGAAAGUCCUGAGGCUCUGCUCUAAGAAAGCUAUACCUCUGGGCAGAAUUGUGCCAAUUGCCAGGAGGAGGGCCAAGAACCGUUGUCUCCUGGGCACUGGGGGAUCUGGAGGAAACAGUAGUGGGACAGGGAGGGAAACCGAGGUGAGUCCAGGAACAUGGGAUUGAGCCCUGCUGGGCAGCCCCAUAUGAUUCAAAGCAUGUCUCUGGGGCCCAGUAUUUUCAUCUGUGGAAUGCAUCUUAAUCCUGGCCCUGUACACCCCCACCCACCACCCCCCCUGUGCUGUUAACGGUCAAGUUGAAGGGCUCAGGGGAAGCAAAAGUUGGCUGAGACCCGGAGGAGACUGACUUGGGGAAACAGAGCCUUGGUCAGGGUGACCCCUCAUCGAGCUGCCCUGGGUCCCAGCGUCACUGCUGGUGGGGACAUGGGGCAGCUUCUCCUGGUGCACCCAUACCCACUCCGGCCCCAGGAACUUCCAACUGAGCCCCCGGGUGAACCAAUUCCAGGGGCAGGGCGUGGAGCAUGUGGAGGUCUUCCCUUGCCCGGCCCCAUGAGGUCCAAGGAAACCAGAGAUGGUCACACCCACAAAUGGUGAGACAGAGAAACA